GCGCUCGCUUCGGCAGCACAUACACUAAAAUUGAAACGAUACAGAGAAGAUGAGCACGGCCCCUGCGCAAGGACGACACGCAAAUUUGUGAAGCAUUCCAGCUGUAA